rnacentral:lncRNA from 1 species
UCAUAAGGAAGCACACUUCUUAGAUAUAAGUUUUAAAUUCAAAAAAGAAGAGGUUAAAACUGAAGUGUAUAGGAAACUAUCCCAUCGACCAGUAAUUAUCCCUAGAUGGUCCCAAGAUCCUUCAUCUUACAAAGGUGCAGCAUUCAGAUUGCUGUUUGGAAGAGUGUUUAUUUACUCCUCAGACCAACAAAGCUUACAAACAGAAAUGGACUAUAUAUACAAUUUAGGACACCAACAUGGAUACACAAAAGGAUUUAUGAAAAGCAUAUGUGUAAGGGUAGAGCAGUCUUUGAAGAAACAAGAAGCUGAAAUGACAUCUGCCCCAAACCUAAAC